UUAUUACUAUUUCUGUCUCAUUGGUUGUUAGGAAUCUGUUUAAAUUGUUUAUUUUAAUUUUGGUUGUAUGCACCUAGAAGUUUAUUUUUUUUAAACAUUUUCUACUCUAACGAGUCUAAGUUUUUAAAGUCCAUCCUGAUGAUUUUUCUGCGUUUCAUCUUUAUCGGUUGUAACGUCUCCCUGUGUGGGGCAUGCGCAAGACUGCGCGUGCGCAUGUGGCGCCACGAGAGGAUAAUAGAUGUCGCUAUCAUUUUCCACAUUAUUACUUCGAGAUAGGGUCUCUCACUGAACCGGAAGCUUGCUAGUUCAGCAAGGCUGGCCGGUCAGUGAAAAUCUCAGGAUCUGCCAGUCCCUGGGGUUACAGACAGACGCAAGCCAGGCCUUGCUUUUUACACAGAUGCUGGGGAUUCAAAUCCAGGUCUUCUUAUGUGCACCAGAAAAGGCCCGUUGGUGAGGACAACUGCCUCUCAAUAACAUUCUGUUGACAAGAACAAACAUACUGACGUCAUUGACGCAACGGCCGUCUGAGAUGAGCAGCAAGGAGGUUGAUCUUGAGAAAAGAGCUCAGCUCACAAGCUCUCAGCUCACAGGAGCAGUGACCAGUCAACAUCUGAACAUGUCACUCAGGGUAGAUAGCCCAGUCUUCUCAAGGCUAAGAGCUCUACCAUCCUAAGGGAGGGGAACCCAACUUCUCAAACAAGCGGAAACAGUACUGUUCCAGCGGAAGUCGUGUCCACUGGGUCGAUGGGGUUGAGUAAACUGCACUCAGGUUGGUGAAUGGUCCCAACUGUAAACCGAGCAUACAACCAUGCUUUAUCUAAUCAAGAUUGAAUGUCUAAAGACUUCCCAGGAGUGUUAGUUUCAGUCAGUGAACAGCAGAAGACGUGCUUUAAAAAGAAAAAGCCAUGAAAUACGGGACAGUUUAUCAAACAUCCUACCACAGAGAAUUUUUCAAUUCCUUAAAUUGGAAGUGUAAUAAUAAGCAAGCCAGGUAUUUUGCCUCCUGACAGAGAGUACCCCACUUUCUAAGAAGCAGAUGGCCUGCCUGGUCCGUUCUGCUGGGACAGACUGCUAGGUAGUCUGUUCCCAGAAGAGGUUUAUCUUCAGACAUACCAGAGGAUCCACUGCACUCAACAUUCACUUCUCACAGGACAACAGUGUGACUGCUCCUCUGAAGACCCAACAGUCUGAAGGCCUCCCAGGAGAUCUGCUGCAUCCAGGGCAGCAAAUCAGCAGCCUCUCUGCCCCUCUGAAGACCCCACAGUUGGAAGGCCCUACAGGAGGGCUGGUACAGCCAGGGACACAGGCCUACCAGGAGACCUGUGGCAACCCAGGGACAAAAGAGGCAGACUCUAGAGUCACCCAGACCAGCAAACACUAGGGAUAACCAGAUGGUGAGAGGCAAGCACAAGACCAUAAGCAAUAGAAGCCAAUGUACGUGGGCAUCAUCAGAACCCAGUUCUCCCACCGCAGCAAGUCCUGAAUAUACUAACACACCUGAAAAUCAGAAAUCUGACCUAAAAUCCUAUCUCAUAAAGAUAAUAACGUCCUUUAAGGAAGAUAUAAAUAACUCAGUGAAAGAAAUACAGGUAAACAGGUAGAAGCCCUUAAAGAGGAAACAAAUAAAUCCCUUAAAGAAAUACAGGAAAACACAAACAGGUAAAGGAAUUGAAUAAAGUGGUCUAAGACCUAAAAGUGGAAGUAGAGACAAUAAAGAAAACACAAAUGGAGGCAAACCAGGAAAUGGAAAAACUAGGAAAGAGGUCAGGAAUUACAGAUGUAAGUAUCACCAGCAGAAUACAAAAGAUAGAAGAGAGAAUCUCAGGUGUAGAUACCAUAUAGGAGAUUAACACAACAGUCAAAGAAAAUUCAAAACAUAAAAAAUUUCUAACUCAAAACAUCCAGAAAAUUCGGACACAAUGAAAAGACCAAAUCUAAGAAUAAUUGGAAUAGAGGAGAACAAAGAAUUCCAGCUCAAAGGACCUGAAAAUGUCUUCAACAAAAUCAUAAAAGAAAACUUCCCCAACCUAAAGAAAGAGAUGGCUAUAAUUGUACAAGAAGCCUACAGAAUAACAAAUAACAAAUGGGACCAGAAAAGAAAAUCCUCUUGUCACAUAAUAGUCAAAACACUAAAUGCACAGAACAAAGAAGAAUAUUAAAAGCUGCAAGGGAAACAAGCCAACUAACAUACAAAGGCAGACCUAUCAGAAUUACACCAGACUUCUCAAUAGAAACUAUGAAAGCCAGAAGAGCCUAGUCAGAAGUCAUGCAGACUCCUAAGAGAACACAAAUACCAGUCCAGGUUAUUAUACCCAGCAAAACUCUCAAUCGACAUAGAUGGAGAAACAAAAAUGUUCCAGAAAAUAUUCAAAGGAAGCUUCAAUACCAGGAAGAUACCUAUACCAAAGAAAAGACAAGAUAUUAAGCAUCUCACGACAAAGCCAAAUGGAGAAAACCACAAGCACAUAAAGCUACCUACAAAAGCAAAUAUAAUAGGAACCAACAGUCAUCUGUCUUAAGUAUCUCUCAAUAUUAAUGGAUUCAACUCACCUAUAAAAAGACAUAAGCUAACAGACUGGAUACGCAAACAAGAUCCAGUAUUUUGCUGCAUACAAAAAACACACCUCAUUAACAAAGACAGACACUAUCUCAGAGUAAAAGAAUGAAAAAAGGUCUACCAAGUAAAUGGUCCUAAGAAACAAGCUGGAGUCGCCAUCUUAAUAUCAAAUAAAAUAGACUUUCAACCAAAAGUUAUCAAGAGUGAUGAGGAAGGACACUUCAUAUUCAUCAAAGGGAAAAAUCUACCAAGAGAAAAUAUCAAUUCUGAACAUCUAUGCCCCAAAUGGAAGGGCGGCCACAUUCAUAAAAGAAACUUUGGUAAAGUUCAAAACACGCAUUGAACACCACACGAUAAUAGUGGGGGACUUCAACACCCCACUCUCACCAAUCGACAGGUCAUUGAAACAGAAACUAAGCAGAGACACAGGGGAACUAAUAGAGGUUAUGAAACAAAUGGAUUUAACAUAUUUCCAGAACAUUUCAUCCUAAAACAAAAGAAUACACCUUCUUUUCACACAUCAUGGUAUCUUCUCCAAAACAGACCAUAUAAUUGGUCACAAAACAACCAUCAACCAAUACAAGAAGAUUGACAUAAUCCCAUGCACCCUAUCAAACCACCACAGCCUAAAGCUGGUCUUCAAUAACAGAAAAAGCAACAGAAAACCCACACACAUGUGGAAACUGAACAACUCUCUACUCAAUGAUAAUUUGAUCAAGGAUGAAAUAAAGAAAUUAGGGGUUGGGGAUUUGGCUCAGUGGUAGAGCGCUUGCCUAGGAAGCGCAAGGUCCUGGGUUCGGUCCCCAGCCCCAGAAAAAAAAAAGAAAUAAAGAAAUUAAAGAUGUCCUGGAAUUUAAUGAAAAUGUUGAUAUAUCAUACCCAAAUCUAUGGGCCACAAUGAAAGCAGUGCUAAGAGGAAAAUUCAUAGCACUAACAGCACACCUGAGAGCUCUAGAACAAAGAGAAGCAAAUUCACCCAAGAAGAGUAGACCACAGGAAAUAGUCAAACUCAGGGUUGAAAUCAACCAAAUAAGAGAACAAUACAAAGAAUCAGCAAAAACAAAAGUUGGUUCUUUAAGAGAAUCAACAAGAUAGAUAAACCCCUAGCCAAACUAACUAAAGGGCCCAGAGACAGUAUCCAAAUUAACAAAAUCAGAAAUGAAAAGGGAGGCAUAACAGAAAUGGAGGAAAUUCAAAAACUCAUCAGAUCCUACUACAAAAGCUUAUUAUCAACAAAACUGGAAAAUCUAGAUGAAAUGGAUAGUUUUCUAGACAGAUACCACAAACCAAAGUUAAAUCAAGAGCAGGUAAACGUUCUAAACAGGCCCAUAUCCCAUAAGGAAAUAGAAGUCAUUAAAAACCUCCCAACCAAAAGAAGGCCAGGGCCAGAUGGAUUUAGUUCAGAAUUCUACCAGACCUUCAAAGAAGACCUGAUACCAAUAUUCCUCAAACUAUUCCAUAAAAUAGAAACAGAAGGAACACUACCUAAUUCAUUCAAUGAAGCCACAAUUACUCUGAUACCUAAACCACACAAGGACCCUACCAAAAAAAAGAGAACUUCAGACCAAUCUGCUUAUGAAUAUUGAUGCAAAAAAUACUCAAUAAAAUCCUCACAACCCAAAUCCAAGAACUCAUCAAACCAUCAUUCACCACGAUCAAGCAGGCUUCAUCCCAGGGAUGAAGGGUGGUUCAAUAUAUGAAAAUCCAUUAACAUAAUCCACCAUAUAAACAAACUAAAAGAAAAAAAUCACAUGACCACCUCCUUAGAUGCAGAAAAAGCAUUUGAUAAAAUACAACACCCCUUCGUGUUAAAAGUAUUGAAGAGAUCAGGAAUUCAAGGCCCAUACCUAACAGCCAAUAUCAAAUUAAAUGGAGAGAUAACUUGAAGCUAUCCCACUAAAAUCUGGGACAAGACAAGGAUGCCCACUUUCCCCAUAACUAUUCAAUAUAGUACUCAAAGUACUAGCUAAAACAAUAAUACAACAAAAAGAGAUCAAGGGGAUACAAAUUGGCAAAAAAAGAGAAAGGUAUCACUAUUUGCAGCUGAUAUGAUAGUAUACAUAAGUGACUCCAAAUAUUCUACCAGAGAACUUCUCCAGCUGAUAAACAACUUCAGCAAAGUGGCCAGAUAUAAAAUUAACUCAAAUAAAUCAGUAGCCUUCCUUUAUACAAAUGAUGAACAGACUGAGAAAGAAAUUAGGGAAACAAUUCUCUUCCAAUAACCACAGAUAAUAUAAAAUAUCUUGGGUAACUCUAACCAAACAAGUGAAAGGCUUUUAUAAUAAGAACUUCAAGUCUCUCAAGAAAGAAAUCAAAGAUCUCAGAAAAUGGAGAGAGCCCCCAUGCUCAUGGAUUGGCAGAAUUAACAUAGUAAAAAUGGUCAUCCUACCAAAGGCAAUCUAUGGAUUCAAUGCAAUCCCCAUCAAAAUCCCAACACAAUUCUUCAAAGACAUGGAAAGAACAAUUCUCAAAUUCAUCUGGAAAGGCAAAAAACCCAGAAAAGCAAAAAUAAUUCUUAAUAAUAAAAGAAUGGCUGGGGGAAUCAUCAUUCUUGACCUCAAGCUCUACUUCAAAGCAAUAGUGAUAAAAACUACCUGGUAUUGGUACAGAGACAGGCAAGUUAAUGAAUGAAACAGAAUUGAAGACCCAGAAAUAAAACCACACACGUACACACACUUGAUCUCUGACAAAGAAGCCAAAAAUAUACAAUGGAUAAAAGAGAGCAUCUUCGAUAAAUGGUGCUGGUCUAAGUGGAUGUCUGUAUGUAGAAAAAUGAAACUAGACCCAUAUUUGUCACCAUGCACAAAGCUCAAGUCCAAGUGGGUCAAGAACCUCAACAUAAAACCAGAUGCCCUAAAUACAAUAGAAGAAAAAGUGGGAAAGAGCCUUGAACUCAUUGGCACAGGCAGAAUUUUCCUAAACGGAACUCCAAUGGCUCACACUCUAAGAUCAAGAAUUGAUAAAGAAAAUGUGGUUCAUUUACUCAGCUAUUAAGAACGAGGACAUCCUGAGUUUUGCAGGCAAAUGGAUAGAACUAGAAAAUGUCAUCCCAAGUGACAUAGCUCAGAUCCAAAAAGAAUUGCAUGGUAUGUUCUCACUAAUAAGUGGAUAGAAACAGUGGGAAAUGCUGCAGAAGACGGAGAUUCUUAGUUUAUAAGAAUACCAGAAUAUGCUAAUUACGAAGAUUAACCCCUCUGCCCUCCUUUUUUUUUUUCAUCAUGAUAAAUGCAAAGCCUACAAAAGCAAGGAAUAUUUUUGGGAGGCACACCAAGUGUAAAGUGUAGGUGAGUACUUUGCUUACAAAGGAGAAAGUUAAGCCACACUUAUAAAAGACCAGCAACAUCUUUUUUUUUUUAAUCUUCACUCUAUACUAGGGAAUUAGACUGAGAAGAAAAAAAUGUAACACCUUCAGUCAUAUUAUCAAAAAGUGACCUUCUCCGUCCACUAUCUCUGGGGCACAGCCCAUCUCCCAGUAAGGUUGCUGUCCCAGCUAAACGCAGAAAUGUAGUUAGGAAAAACUAAUUAACCAUUGGAAGGCACAUGGAAAAUCAAUAGAAGAAUAGAGUGACCUCCUUCUGCUUGUGGGCUCCUGUCCUCUCUUCCCAAGGGAAGGCAGAAUGAACAUCCAUACUGUGAAGAGUGAAGACGCCACCGUCAUCACCUUCCUCAUCUCUACAACGUGUCAUCACCAUGAAGGGGAGUCCACCCACAGCUGUGGUCACGGGUGUCACAGAGCAUCGCAGAACUGUGCAUGACCUCACUGAGAUGUCCCCCAGCAGCCAGGGGUGUGCUGAGGAGAGAAUAGUGCAAAGUAAGCCUAGUUUUCAGCAGUAAGAAUCCAAGAAAUGAAUUCCACACCGUGUCCUUAAAAUUGAUGUGUUUGGUGAAGAAAGAUAAAAGAUAUCUUUCAGAGCAUAAAGGUGCUCCUGACAGAGUCCCUACUCAUCUGCCUGGCCCCUCUCAAAGGCCUGGAGCUGGUCUUCCAUACUGGAUCAAAAGCAGUAGAAGAGAACCAACUCUUUCCAGACCAUGGUGAGAGCUUAGUGGACUCAUUCAGAUGUGUGGCUAAGUCUUUCAUGUACUGCUGGGUCCUUCUAUCACCUCUCAGAUUUAUCCACGCCCAAAAUGUGGGACUGGAGAUAUAGCUCAACAGUUAAGAACACUGGCUGCCCUUAGAGGGUGCUCAGUUCCCAGCACCCACGUGGUGACUCAACAUCUUUAACUUCAAUUCUAAGGAAUCCAAUGCCCUCUUCUAACCUCAGUGGACACCAGACAUGGUUCACAGCCAAACAUGCAGAAAAAAUUCAUACACACACAAAAUAAAAAUAAAUACUUUUUAAAAAA